rnacentral:misc_RNA from 1 species
UAGACAUAUCCUGUUAAAACCAAAACUUCCCAUACCUAUGAAAGUAUCCUUAGAUGAGCUUUUUUCAUUAUUACAAUUGUGCCUUUUGCAUGUUAUUUUCUCUGGUCUACAGGUGUAAUAUCUUCUCAUACGUUACAAGCGUAUAUUGCAAUGUUGAAUGGUGGCCUUUUGGUCCUCUUUUGAAACAAUUAUGCAACUUGAUUCUUACAUUUCC